CCUACGGGUGGCAGCAGUGAGGAAUAUUGGUCAAUGGACGAGAGUCUGAACCAGCCAAGUAGCGUGAAGGAUGACUGCCCUAUGGGUUGUAAACUUCUUUUAUAUGGGAAUAAAACGUUCCACGUGUGGGAUUUUGUAUGUACCAUAUGAAUAAGGAUCGGCUAACUCCGUGCCAGCAGCCGCGGUAAUACGGAGGAUCCGAGCGUUAUCCGGAUUUAUUGGGUUUAAAGGGAGCGUAGGUGGAUUGUUAAGUCAGUUGUGAAAGUUUGCGGCUCAACCGUAAAAUUGCAGUUGAAACUGGCAGUCUUGAGUACAGUAGAGGUGGGCGGAAUUCGUGGUGUAGCGGUGAAAUGCUUAGAUAUCACGAAGAACUCCGAUUGCGAAGGCAGUUCACUGGACUGCAACUGACACAGAGGCUCGAAAGUGUGGGUAUCAAACAGGAUUAGAUACCCUUGUAGUC
rnacentral:rRNA from 1 species